rnacentral:tRNA from 1 species
CUACAGCGUGGAGAAGCUGCGCGAGCUUAUCGCGCUUGGCGGCCCAGCGUUCGAGGCGCUGCUGAAGA